UGGGAAUAUUGCACAAUGGGCGAAAGCCUGAUGCAGCGACGCCGCGUGCGGGAUGAAGGCCUUCGGGUUGUAAACCGCUUUUGAUUGGGAGCAAGCGAGAGUGAGUGUACCUUUCGAAUAAGCACCGGCUAACUACGUGCCAGCAGCCGCGGUAAUACGUAGGGUGCAAGCGUUAUCCGGAAUUAUUGGGCGUAAAGAGCUCGUAGGCGGUUUGUCGCGUCUGGUGUGAAAGUCCAUCGCUUAACGGUGGAUCUGCGCCGGGUACGGGCAGGCUAGAGUGCGACAGGGGAGACUGGAAUUCCCGGUGUAACGGUGGAAUGUGUAGAUAUCGGGAAGAACACCAAUGGCGAAGGCAGGUCUCUGGGUCGUCACUGACGCUGAGGAGCGAAAAGCGUGGGGAGCGAACAGGAUUAGAUACCCUGGUAGUCCACGCCGUAAACGGUGGAUGCUGGAUGUGGGGCCCAUUCCACGGGUUCCGUGUCGGAGCUAACGCGUUAAGCAUCCCGCCUGGGGAGUACGGCCGCAAGGCUAAAAC
rnacentral:rRNA from 1 species